UCUUCUAGAGCUCAUCCCCAAUGUCUCCUUCUGGGGUUCUUGUGCUGCAGGUAUCGAUGGUUAAGAAAGAGAGCUCUUCUUUCUCAUACCUACCGGCUACACGAAUCCCAGCUGCGAUGCAGAUCCUGCCCAGUGUGGGCAAAAGGAGAGAGUCAUGGGGUGGCUGGGCAGGGACUUGUGAAGUACAGGUUUUACUUCUCAGGCUAAGAGAAAGACUCAUGCGCUUGCUCUCUCUUUCAACAACUAUCCGGUCUAAAGACUAGGAUUUUGCCCCCUAUGUAUAGGUGAGAGGAAGGCAUUUUGAUGCGUCCUGAGAUAAAAUAAACACCUAAGCUCCCCUUCCCGCCAAGCUAUGUGUCACAGGCUCAGACUGUCUUUGUCUGUUUUGUUGUUUUGUUUUCUUUGAGCCUUUGCUUCCCCUGAAUGACUGUAACUGUGACAUUCUUAGAACACAAGGUCGACGCCACAGCACUUAGGCUGAAGUUCAGUAGCCUGUCCCACGUGUGACCUCAGCAAGCUCCUCACUACACAUGUAGGCUCACAGAGCUGCAGUCUAAUGCCUGGUUUCUACCCUACCCAAAAGAAGCCCGAGGCAGUGUUCAGCCAAAGGUCCUGAUCUAAAUGGCGUAGCAGGAGUGGUGCAGGCCAGUCUGCAAGCUAAGGGAUAUGUGGGUGGUAUGCAGGGAGGAGCUCAAGCCUGGAUGUUUAUACUGCAGAAUGCCAGGGACACGUGUUGCCCUAGUGUCACCGGGUCACGGGGGGCCACAAAAGGUCUUUUCACUUGUGUCUGGUGAGUGUGGAGGUCAAGUCUUAGGGAAGGACAGUUGCCUUCCAGCAGCCUGAGGUGAGUGAGCUCUCAUGUCUGCCUUAGUAUAUCAACUGCUCACAGCUCUAGUGGUCGGACAUUAGCAUUGAUGACAGUGACAGCCACUGACAGCCAUCCCAGUUAUGUGCAUGUGAGGGUGGAGAGAGUCACAUUCAGAUGAGGACGCUGAGAAUAAGAGAGCUUGCAGGAACUACCCGUCAUUGGUCAGUAAUAGCAGCCACUCUUGUGGGAGUAGGAUCCAGCUUUACUUGACCUGAGUCUACCGAGAUUUAGUCUAGGUGUCCUCUGCAACAGGGUGACUGCAGGUCUCUUCACACACUUCUGGAAGGCUCAGAAGUAACAGACAUCACUGAAUGGAGACAGGCCUCUGUGGAGAGCUCUGGAUGAACAGGAAAUGUGCUGGCAGAGCUCAGAGUGGGGCCUCAGUGGCCUGCAUGAAUCUCACCAGGAGGCUUGGAGAGUGGUCCUGGUGAUUGAGGUGUCACCUCCUGAUCAUGACCAGGAGGCUUUCUGUUAUUUACUUAUUCUCAGUUUGUAUGUGUAUGUGUGCACGUGUAUGUGUGUGUGUGUGUGUGUGUGUGUGUGUGUGUGUGUGUGUGUGUAAUACGCGUCAUACUCUGAUUCUCAAAUUAUCUAUCUCCCUAGCCUUGAGCAUGAGGAUUUGAAGUUCAAAAGUCGAGGCCAGAUAUUAUUUAUUCGAGCCUGAAAUCUUGCUAGAUAGGAUGCUAUGACCCACACUGAUCCCUUGGUUUCUGCCUGCAAUCAAUGUGUAGAAACCAACUACGGGCUCGAUAACCUAAGCCAGAAAGCCGAAGAAGAGAGAGCUUCACGCGGCUCAGCAACCAGGUACACUGAGACCUGGACCAGGUUCAAUGGAAGCAGAGGGAUGAGACUCUGUCAUGCUGGCUCCAAGGCUUAUGACCUCUGAAGGGCAAUGGCUUGUCCUGAGCAUCCUCCAUGGACCGCUUGAAACUCUACCUCUUGGGUUUCUCUGCUGCUUCCCUGCUGGACAUUGUUCAAACGGCUUACCGUGUGGCUUCUCUCAGCAGGUGUAAGCUGGAAACAUGCCCAGGUGUGUGCCUCGUGCUGUCAAGGGCUUCUGGGAAAUUUUCAGAGAUGGUGAAUUGUGGAGCCUUAACUCCUCUGCGGAGACCAGCAGAGUCUGGUGUGCAUGGUUCCUGGUCUAAGUGGUCUCUGGUGUCAUUCCCAGAAAAGGCUGUUGGGAAGUACCAACUAACAGCCAACGUGGUCCUUUUAUGUUGUUGUCUGCAAAACGCAUCUUGUUUUCUUUUGUAUUUCUCCUUUUUUCUUGAGCAAAAAAUCGAGAAAUUCGGAUCACCCUUUAGCCAGACUGACUUCAAAUUCACAAUCAUCCUUUUGUCUCUGCCCCCUAGGCAUUAGGAUUAUAGGCAUAAGCUACCACACUAGCAAGCUACCUUGCUUUCUAAGGAGAGUCUAGGUCAGCUCCUUAACUGAAUGCACAACCUUCAUUUCUUAAAAAAAAACAAAAACAAAAAAAAACUAUUAUAAAAAUAUUGCAAGUUUAAAAAAAAAGUGUAUGCUGAAAAUAUCCUGACCCCAAAGCAAUACCAGUCAGCAAACUUCUAUCUGGUCAGAACAGAUUUCAGAAGGGGGUGCAGAAGUUCACACUGGCUCGACACGGACUUUCAGUAGCGAGUUUAUUUUUAUGUGCUUCCCACCACACUCACACCUCGUCUACAACUCUUGUUCGUUACCUGCAUUCAGCCCUUCCUCAUCUCCUAAUAUUUAGCUCUCCCUUUCCUCUUUUCUAUUUGCCAUGUUCUUAACUCCACCAUCCCCAGACAGCCCCCGAGGAGCUAUUUCUAGCCUGGCUUUUUUUUUCUCUUUGGAAAGGGAAGCCAGGGUGAGACCCAAGCCACAUGUCUCUAUGGUGUUGAAAGGUGCAGGUGGACCAUGAUUCACUAGGCUGUAGUUUUUUUACCCAUGAUGGGAGCGUCACAGUGGCAUGAAGGUUCCCCAGACCCCAGGUCCCAUUUCCACAUCAUUGGGACCCACCUGCUUUCUAUGUGGCUGAGGGUGACUCUGGCACAGGAGUGUUUCCCUCAAACAGACACCCACCACCUCUCAUUUUUUACUCUCACCUCAAUAGGCUUUUAUGUCCGAGAGGACACAGUCUAAAGUGUCUCUAAGUGUCCCUCCCACAUGGUGUGAGACAGCUGUUGCCCCAUGGGUCCAUGACUCAGGCCUCAUGGCCCUUACAGAAGCCUCAGCUGCCACCUCUCCAGUCUGCAGCCCAGAAGCUCUGUGUGGACACAUGACCUUACUUAAUUCUUGCACAGCACAGGGAGACUUUCCAACUCCCCGGCUCAUACAAGGUUGUAGAACUGGGUCAGAGCAGAGCAGAAGAUGUAGCUGCCCCUGGGCACCAUCGUACAGACCUUGUCCUAUGUGCCUGGCUCUCAGUUUAGGGUAGACGGUGUUGGGAGCUUCAUAUUUUCCCAUUAGCAGAAUUCAGAAACCGGUUCUGAGCCAUGAGUGGUGCAGGAUUGGAAGGACUUCAGCUGUCUCCAGAGAGCAUCGAUCGCCCACAAGAAAGUAUGACCUUUCUCUGUCACGCAGGGGCCAUAGGAUCCCAGUUGUCCAGAACCAGUGAGACCACCUAGUACUGGUGAGUAUGAACUUAAACAGCAGGCGUGGAAGGCAGAACACUGAGACGACCUUUCAAGAUGAGAGAGAAGAACCUUCACAAUUCCCUUGUCUCACGUUCACACGAUGAAACUACAGAUCGUGUGCCUCUUCCACACGCACUGCGGAAAGGCAAGGAGACUGAAAGGAAGCUUCAAGGCCACUGUAGGGUCUGACAUAAUGUGUUGAUCCCCCUUGAGGAGCAGAAGAGAGCCUUCCCCAGAGUAUACACCAACUCCACAGUGUCUGUCACUCUACAACAAACAUGACUGACUGUAGCUUGUCUACACCCGGAGGCUAUGCUACUGAGGUACCGAGAAAACAUGCAUGCUGUUUGCACAGUAAAAAGGACGCCCAUCAUUUCCUUGUGAGUAGAAUGUAAAUGGAAAGACUCAUUUUGACAUGUUCGGAUUUGACUGACAAUAGACCAGUGCAGAGUUCAGAGUGAGCCACCAGCUGCAUGUGGGACAGCAGGUGAGGCAGGGCUUCAAGGCCACAUUUCUGGGUUUGGCUGCUUUUCAUGCCUCCACUUGCUUAGUGAGCCUUUGAUACAACUUUAAACGGAACGCAACAUGAUGUGGGUUUUUUUUUUCUGUUGAUGGUUUUCCUGGCGCUCCAGCUGUAGUUAAAUGGCUACAGCAGAAGAUCUGACAGAUGGAAAUGCUACUUCAUCCGACUGAGUAUUUAUUAUUCAUAAAGUUAAUUUCCAUUAAUUAAUCAUCUUUGUGUCUCUCAAGAAGGUACCGUCACCAAGUAGGAGCCACUUUUCCUUGAGUGGAAGGGUGGCUAAGGGAAACCUUGGGCUUAACCGAGGUUACCUCUGUUUCUUCCCCAGCUUUCCUGGAUUCCAACACGGCGUUCAUUCACCAGUUCACUGAACUUCAACUUCCCUGCAAGUAUCCACAGGCCUGGAUUCUCAGGAUCACUAUGUUGACUGCACUGAAAACCAUCUUCACAGUGGGGUCCAUGAUCUUCAAAAGGGCCUGCUGCCUGCUUGAGACUGCUCCCCAUGGAGCACACAAAAAGAUAUCUGGGUCCAUGGCCUUUGCCAGCCACAGGCAGCUGUGACAGCCACCCCUUCUUCCUGGGCCCUGUCCUGGUUUUGAACUGACCUCAUUAAGAGGACACUGCGACCAUGCUUCUGUCUAAAACACUGUGGUGCCAGGAAAGGGAUAACCCAAGUCUAAACCACUUUACUUGGGUCUGUUUUCCUUCAGACACCUUCUGUGCUCACUCCACCUGAGCCUUACUUCUUUCUGGAACCUUCUUAUACUUUUCCUUGUGGGACCCAAAAGCUCUCCAGGGCACCUGUGACACACCUUCGUUCUUGUCCCUCUACACUGACUUUCCCUCCAUACUCACCUCUAGCCGAGAUCUUUCCCUUCCUCUUGGUCCUUUCCAGACCCUGGAACAGUGCCUGACACAGCACCACUUUUAAAUGUUUACUGAAUGAAAGGAAGAAGGAGGGGGAGGAAGGGCAGAAUUAGGCUCUCGGGGUUAAUCGCCAUUUCCGACACACAUGCUAACAGGACUGCCUCCAGGGCAGCGUGUCACUCAUUACACAUCCUGAACCUUUGCAAGCCCACGCCACGUCAUCUGCCUAUUCACAGCCCAGCGUUUCCAGGCACCUCCACACCCAAAAGGGCACAGCCAGCAUUUUCCUCUUCUGAAGGAAGUAUUCACAAUCAGCAAAGCAAACAGAAAAAAAAAAAAA
rnacentral:sRNA from 1 species